ACGCUCGACACCUACGGGAGGUAGCAGUGGGGAAUAUUGCACAAUGGGGGAAACCCUGAUGCAGCGACGCCGCGUGGAGGAAGAAGGUCUUCGGAUUGUAAACUCCUGUUGUUGGGGAAAAAGNGGAUGGUACCCAACAAGGAAGUGACGGCUAACUACGUGCUAGCAGCCGCGGUAAUCUGAGCGGGCUGGCAAGGC
rnacentral:rRNA from 1 species